UUUAUUGACCCGCUCCCCAAGCUUUUGCCAGAGAAAGCUUUGAGCACCCUUAUCCAUAUUGAAGGGAUUCACAUCCCCAGGGCAGUAUCCCCCGUGAUGGCACUGGGGAAAGAUACCAAAUCCUCUCUGCCACCUUUACUGAAAUGAGCGUGUCCACUCAAUUAAUCACUAAUUUUCUGUAUCUACUGUAAACAUAUGAAGCUAUUUUAAUGGAGAAUAUAUUUAUAUUCUCAUUAUGACCCCAGUGGGGACUUCCAGAACACUGUAUCCCAAUGUAUCUUUCAAAAUACAUUUCUAUAUAUCUUUGUGUGUGA
rnacentral:lncRNA from 1 species